AAUAGAUACCCAGGUAGUCCACCCCGUAAACGUUGGGAACUAGUUGUGGGGUCCUUUCCACGGAUUCCGUGACGCAGCUAACGCAUUAAGUUCCCCGCCUGGGGAGUACGGCCGCAAGGCUAAAACUCAAAGGAAUUGACGGGGACCCGCACAAGCGGCGGAGCAUGCGGAUUAAUUCGAUGCAACGCGAAGAACCUUACCAAGGCUUGACAUACACCAGAACGCCCUAGAAAUAGGGGACUCUUUGGACACUGGUGAACAGGUGGUGCAUGGUUGUCGUCAGCUCGUGUCGUGAGAUGUUGGGUUAAGUCCCGCAACGAGCGCAACCCUCGUUCUAUGUUGCCAGCACGUAAUGGUGGGAACUCAUGGGAUACUGCCGGGGUCAACUCGGAGGAAGGUGGGGAUGACGUCAAAUCAUCAUGCCCCUUAUGUCUUGGGCUUCACGCAUGCUACAAUGGCCGGUACAAAGGGCUGCAAUACCGUGAGGUGGAGCGAAUCCCAAAAAGCCGGUCCCAGUUCGGAUUGAGGUCUGCAACUCGACCUCA
rnacentral:rRNA from 1 species